AAACACCUCUUAAUUUAAAUAUAGGGAAAACUUUAAAUACCCCUUACUAUGAUUUCGUACUUUCUCAUUUUAAUACCCUGUGGUUUAAAGUGUAUCAAGUUAGUAUAUAUCCUGUGGUUUCGCACUUUCUCACUUUAGCACCCUGUGGUUUAAAGUGUAUCAAGUUAGUAUCCUAUGAUUUUAUUUUUGUAUAAAGUUAGUACCCUGUGAUUUCAUUUUUCUAUUUUUAUUAUCCAUUUUGGGGCAUUUUUUUCAUCAAAUCAGUGACAAAGUUAAAACUAAAGGGUACUAAAAUGAAUAUUCGAUAAACCUAGGUAGGGUAUCUUAAGUUUUUUGUAUAUAAUUUAACGAAAUAUUAAACCACAGAGUACUAAAGUGAGAAAGUGCGAAACUAUAGGGUACUAACUUGAUACACUUUAAACCAUAUGGUACUAAAGUAAGAAAGUGCGAAACUAUAGGGUACUAACUUGAUACACUUUAAACCACAUGAUAGUUAAGUGAGAAAGUGCGAAAUCAUAGAGGGAGUAUUUGAAGUUUUCGCUUAAAUAUAACUUGUUUUGUUGGCAUAUAAUACAACUAAAAUAUUGGGGUUUUUUUUCAUAAUGAUAAAAAAGCAGAAAAGUUUAGAAAAAAACAAAGGAAAAAAGGGGAGGGGUUUAAUUAGUUUUUUUGUCGUGUAGUGGAAGGGGAAGAGUUCCUUGUCUUGUGCGAAAAAGAUGUUACAUACAACUAGUUUUUUUAAAAAAAAUAAAAAUAAACAAAAUUUAUUUAAAUUAUCACUAUUUUAAUCAAUUAUUUAAUCUUAUAUUUUAAUUUUAUUAUUAAAAUUUUAAUUUAUUUAAUUUGAAUUAGUCAACUAAAUUUUAAUUUUAAAUUUUAAAUUUAUUAUUUAUCUCUACGUACAGAUUUAUUUAGUAUAUUUUAUAUAAUUUUCACAACUAUAAAUUUAUUAAAAAAUAAUUAGUUUAAAUUUGAAUUUGAAAUAUUAUUUACUAAUUUAAAAUAGUAAAUUAAAAUAUUAGAUAGUAAAAUUGAAAUUUUAAAAAUUUAGAUAGUCAACUCAAAAUAAUCAAACUGACUAGUUUUUUUUUUUAAAUAAAAUUGGCAUUAUUAUUAUUAUUUUGUUUUUUUGUUGUUGUUGGUUGGUCGGUCAAAAUGGUCGAGUCAGACUCGGGGCGGUGUCAGUUUUGGGUUCGCACCGUACCUGUCGCCUAGGGCGUAUAAUCGCACGUCAUUUGAAACAUUUUUUUUUUAGAUAGGUAGCACGCUAGCCGCUUCGUUUAUUUCAUUUAGAAAUAAACUUAGCUGAAAAUGUGAAUCAACUAGAAUUUGAACUUGGGUCUCGAGUACCAACCACCAAAUUCUUUGCCACUUGUUCUAGUGUUUUUAUGAAACAUUGUUUAUAAAAUGAAAGGUAAACUUCAAAUACCAUUUAUGUGGUUUCGUACAUUCCCAUUUUAAUAUCCUAUAGUUAAAAGUGUAUCAAGUUAGUGUCUUGUUAUUUUAUUUUAUUUUUUCGUCAGUUUUUUUAUUAAUAUUUCGUUAUAUUAUAUACAAAAAAAUUUCAGAUACACUACCUAGGUUUAUCAAAUAUUCACUUUAAUACUAUUUAGUUUUAACUUUGUCACUGAUUUAACGAAAAAAUUUAGUGAAAUCGAUAAAAAAAAAAGAAACCACAGAACACUAAAUUAAUAUAUUUUAAACCACAUAAUACUAAAGUGAGAAAAUGUGGAACCAUAGGGAUGGUAUUUAAAAUUUUUC
rnacentral:lncRNA from 1 species